UCUUCAUAGAGUUUUGGGAAGACUGAGGUAAUCGCUGCUGAAGUCAGUAUUGUAAUGGUGAAUCGAGAUUUUUAAUGAAGUGGGUUUGAAUACUCUUGACUGUUUUGUAAAAUCGAGUUACGUCUGUGAUUGAAGGAUUAAAAGGGUGUCUAUAGGAUUGAGUAUGCGGAGUGAAUGAAAUUUAUUGGGUUAAUCUAACAAGACAGUCAGUGGAUACAAGAUCGUAAUUACAAAGCGGUAUUGAAGAUUAACAGUUUG
rnacentral:lncRNA from 1 species